UACAGAGGUGGCAAGCGUUGUUCGGAAUUACUGGGCGUAAAGGGCGCGUAGGCGGUCUUGUAAGUCCCGUGUGAAAGCCCCCGGCUCAACUGGGGAAUGGCACGGGAAACUGCGAGGCUUGAGUUCGGGAGAGGGAAGCGGAAUUCCGGGUGUAGCGGUGAAAUGCGUAGAUAUCCGGAGGAACACCGGUGGCGAAGGCGGCUUCCUGGACCGACACUGCCGCUGAGGAGCGAAAGCUAUGGGAGCAAACGGG
rnacentral:rRNA from 1 species